rnacentral:rRNA from 1 species
GUAUGCUUAUAAUACGUAAGACCUGCUCAAUGAUAACUUAAAUAGCCGCAGUACAAUGUGCCAAGGUAGCAUAAUCACUUGCCUUAUAAUUAAAGGCUAGAAUGAAAGGUUUAACAUAUGAAUUUCUUUAUUAUUUUGGAUCAUCUAACUUUACAUAUAAGUAAAAAGGCUUAUAUUUUUAGAAGGACGACAAGACCCUGUCGAGCUUAACUUUAGUUUAACUGGGGCGGUUCCAAACAAAAUCUUUUUUCCAUCAUUUCAUCUCAUCCUUCAAAGAGGAAUCAAACAAGUUACCGCAGGGAUAACAGCAUCAUUCUUUUUAUAAGACCUUAUUUUAAAAAGAGAUUGUGACCUCGAUGUUGAAUUAUUUUAUCUUUCAGGAGCAGAAUCUUGAAAAGAAAGUCUGUUCGACUUUUAAAAAAUUACAUGAUUUGAGUUCAGACCGGCGCAAGCCAGGUCGGUUUCUAUCUUCUUUCAUCAAUUUUCAGUACGAAAGGACCAAAAUUGAAGCACUAAGCUUUCCCUUUUGGCAGAA